UACGGGGGGGGCAAGCGUUGUUCGGAAUUACUGGGCGUAAAGGGCUUGUAGGUGGCCAACUAAGUCAGACGUGAAAUCCCUCGGCUUAACCGGGGAACUGCGUCUGAUACUGGAUGGCUUGAGUGUGGGAGAGGGAUGCGGAAUUCCAGGUGUAGCGGUGAAAUGCGCAGAUAUCAGGAGGAACACCAAUGGCGAAGGCAGCUCGCUGGGACGGUACUGACGCUGGAGACGCGAAAGCGUGGGGAGCAAACAGG
rnacentral:rRNA from 1 species